rnacentral:rRNA from 1 species
UACAGAGGUCUCAAGCGUUGUUCGGAUUCAUUGGGCGUAAAGAGCUCGUAGGCGGUUCGUCGCGUCGGCUGUGAAAUCCCGAGGCUCAACCUCGGGUCUGCAGUCGAUACGGGCGGACUGGAGUUCGGCAGGGGAGACUGGAAUUCCUGGUGUAGCGGUGAAAUGCGCAGAUAUCAGGAGGAACACCGGUGGCGAAGGCGGGUCUCUGGGCCGAUACUGACGCUGAGGAGCGAAAGCGUGGGGAGCGAACAGG